rnacentral:rRNA from 1 species
UGGCGGCAGCAGUCGAGGUGCCUCUUCUUUGUGUGUUGCCUUUCAUGUCUUUCUAUCCGUAGCGAUAGCAUUUGCUUUGUGGAUGGCUCUCCUUGCAGUGCAAUCGCGAGGCUCCCCCCAUGGCGCGUCCAUGGCGUUGUACACAGUACACCAGCACAAAGAGCAUCCCCGGGCACUACUUCAUCUACUAGGAGACGGUCGGUGCCGGCGCCGGCUGGACGGUGGACAAGGAGACCAUCGACGCUUGAGAUGGAUGAGGGACUGAAUACGGUGUGCAUGCAUGGUAGAGUGGCGGACGGCUUCAUCGGGCUGCUCGAGAUCCGCGUCGUCCGGACCGGCACGUCCGAGGAGCUGAUGGACUACGCUAUCUCUCAUGGCGCCUCCAUCAACCAAUACAAGGUGCCCUGGUGCUUGACGCUCCCGCCGAUCAUCGAGCUGUGCAUGCUCCGCUCGCGCGUGGUGUCCAUCCUGUUUAGCCCUGCCGUGCGGCACUGGACCCCUACUCCCACCUGGCGCACGAAAAGGGCUCCUGUUCGGAUUAUAGACUGA